UGGUCAAGUUAUUAAGGGUGCAGGGCGGAUGCCUUGGCACUAGGAGCCGAUGAAGGACGUGAUAAGCUGCGAUAAGCUUCGGGGAGUUGCACGUAAACUUUGAUCCGAAGAUUUCCGAAUGAGGAAACUCACUUAGAGUAAUGUCUAAGUAUCAUUAAGUGAAUACAUAGCUUAAUGAGGGGAACUCAGGGAACUGAAACAUCUACGUACCUGAAGGAAGAGAAAGAAAUUCGAUUCCGUAAGUAGCGGCGAGCGAACGCGGAUUAGCCCAAACCAAUAAAGUUUUCUUUAUUGGGGUUGAGGACAUACCACAUAUAAGAGGUCAUUAUAGACGAAGAAGUUUGGAAAAACUCAUCAUAGAAGGUAAUAAUCCUGUAGCCAAAAUAAUAAUUCUUUAGGUAUGAUCCAGAGUACCACGGGACACGUGAAACCCUGUGGGAAGCAGGAGGGACCACCCUCCAAGGCUAAAUACUACCUAGUGACCGAUAGCGUAUAGUACCGUGAGGGAAAGGUGAAAAGAACCCCGGGAGGGGAGUGAAAUAGAACCUGAAACCCUGCACUUACAAGCUGUGGAAGCACAUUUCUUGUGUGACCGCGUACUUUUUGUAGAACGGGCCAACGAGUUACGUUAAGUAGCAAGGUUAAGCACUUAAGGUGUGGAGCCGUAGCGAAAGCGAGUUUUAACUGAGCGUUCAGUUACUUGACGUAGACCCGAAACCGGGCGACCUACCCAUGAGCAGGAUGAAGCGAAAGUAAAAUUUCGUGGAGGUCCGAACCCACGAGCGUUGAAAAGCUCGGGGAUGACUUGUGGGUAGCGGUGAAAUUCCAAUCGAGCCCGGAGAUAGCUGGUUCUCCCCGAAAUAGCUUUAGGGCUAGCCUCAAGGUGAGAGAUACGGAGGUAGAGCACUGAAUGUCCUAGGGGGUAUUGCACCUACCGAAGACUAUCAAACUCCGAAUGCCGUCAUCUUAUACUUGGGAGUCAGACUGUGGGUGAUAAGAUUCAUAGUCGAAAGGGCAACAGCCCAGAUCGUCAGCUAAGGUCCCUAAAUGUAAGUUAAGUGGUAAAGGAUGUGGGAUUGCACAGACAACCAGGAUGUUGGCUUAGAAGCAGCCACUCAUUCAAAGAGUGCGUAAUAGCUCACUGGCCGAGUGCUCCUGCGCCGAAGAUUUCCGGGGCUAAAACUUAC
rnacentral:rRNA from 1 species